rnacentral:lncRNA from 1 species
UUUUAAAAAGUGGAACUACAUUGGCAUCUCUCCAAUCUUGCGGGACUUCACCAGUGUUCAAUGAUGUUUGGUAUAGGUCUGUGAGUAUCGGAGCAAGUUGUUCUGCUGCUGCUUUCAGUAUAAAGGCUGGUAUUGAGUCGGGACCAGUAGCUUUAUGCGGUUUCAGAUUUUUUAACAAUUUGUGGACUCCGUUGGUACUAAUUUUUAUGUCCUUCAUGGUGUAGUAUGGACUUUUUCCUUUAUCUGGAAAGUUAUUUAGGUUUUCUUUGGUAAAUACUGACUGGAAUUGGUCGUUUAAAAUGUCAGCUUUGCUCUUGUUAUCACUUUGCAGAAAUCCCAUUUUGUUUUUUAACGGUUCAACUCCUGUCCAUUCUUGACCUUUGCUUUUGAUAUAAGACCAGAACUUCUUUGCAUUAUCUCUAUA